GAUGAACGCUGGCGGCGUGCCUAAUACAUGCAAGUCGAGCGAACAGACGAGGAGCUUGCUCCUCUGACGUUAGCGGCGGACGGGUGAGUAACACGUGGAUAACCUACCUAUAAGACUGGGAUAACUUCGGGAAACCGGAGCUAAUACCGGAUAAUAUAUUGAACCGCAUGGUUCAAUAGUGAAAGACGGUUUUGCUGUCACUUAUAGCUGGAUCCGCGCCGCAUUAGCUAGUUGGUAAGGUAACGGCUUACCAAGGCGACGAUGCGUAGCCGACCUGAGAGGGUGAUCGGCCACACGGGAACUGAGACACGGUCCAGACUCCUACGGGAGGCAGCAGUAGGGAAUCUGCCGCAAUGGGCGAAAGCCUGACGGAGCAACGCCGCGUGAGUGAUGAAGGUCUUCGGAUCGUAAAACUCUGUUAUUAGGGAAGAACAAAUGUGUAAGUAACUAUGCACGUCUUGACGGUACCUAAUCAGAAAGCCACGGCUAACUACGUG
rnacentral:rRNA from 1 species